AAAGCGGGAGCAAUCUCGCAAGUACAGUGGCGUACGGGUGAGUAACACGUGGAUCAUCUACCCUGGAGUGGGGAAUAACGCUGGGAAACCGGCGCUAAUACCGCAUAUUCCCGAGAGGGGAAAGCAGCAAUGCGCUCGAGGAGGAGUCCGCGGCCGAUUAGCUAGUUGGUAGGGUAAAAGCCUACCAAGGCUGUGAUCGGUAGCCGGCCUGAGAGGGCACACGGCCACACUGGCACUGAAACACGGGCCAGACUCCUACGGGAGGCAGCAGUGGGGAAUCUUGCACAAUGGGGGAAACCCUGAUGCAGCGACGCCGCGUGAGCGAUGAAGCCCUUCGGGGUGUAAAGCUCUUUCGGCAGGGAAGAUUAUGACGGUACCUGCAGAAGCAGCUGCGGCUAACUACGUGCCAGCAGCCGCGGUAAUACGUAGGCAGCAAGCGUUGUUCGGAGUUACUGGGCGUAAAGGGUGUGUAGGCGGCCUGUUAAGUUCCGUGUGAAAUCUCCCGGCUCAACCGGGAGGGUGCGCGGAAAACUGGCGGGCUAGAGUGCGGGAUGGGAGAGUAGAAUUCCUGGUGUAGCGGUGAAAUGCGUAGAUAUCAGGAGGAAUACCGGUGGUGUAGACGGCUCUCUGGACCGCAACUGACGCUGAAACACGAAAGCGUGGGUAGCAAACAGGAUUAGAUACCCUGGUAGUCCACGCCCUAAACGAUGCAUAUUUGGUGUAGGUCAUUCAGUUGAUCUGUGCCGGAGCUAACGCGUUAAAUAUGCCGCCUGGGGAGUACAGUCGCAAGGCUGAAACUCAAAGGAAUUGAC
rnacentral:rRNA from 1 species